CAUGUCCUCGUUCAGCCACGACUCCGAGAAACAUAGGAUACUACAGUUUUUCAGGACCCGUUGAUAGUAUAGUCUCGAACAGAGAUUAUACGGGUUUUCUCCAGUGACUGCACGUUUGCCAACAAAACAGAGGGCAUUGGUGGUCUACAUGCUCACCGAUGUAAUCUCGCCACCUUCGCUUACCUCUCUUUUGCUGCCGUUUCCUCUUUCGAGUCACGGGGAUCAGGGUCUGGUCCGGGGCGGACACAUGCGUCCAGAGUGCUGGGAACAGGCUCCAAAGGGCCACCUCGACAGAAGAUGUCCUCUUCUACAGUGCAGACGAGCAUGCCCUUGGGGAGCUUUGCGCUGUCAAGUAAUAUGUCCGAAAAUGGAUUCCGGCUGCCCCGAGUGGAACUAAACAGCCUGGACCAAAACAACUUGGAGCAACAAAGCAGAAUCAGCGAUUCGACAGUAGUCACCAUACAUGAUACUCCAUCACUAGGGAAUACAUAGCAGGCCGCUAACGUAUUGGACAGGUGACAAAGUCAGCAUAUAAUGCUUGAAAAGAAACUCUUUAUUAUGAACAAAGUGGUGCUAUAAGAACGCAAUGAAUAUGCAUGGACACUCCUGUGGACAUAAACAAUUGCUUUCUUGACUACAGUGUUCAGAACAUGGACAAAAUUAUCCUGCUGUCUGUGCAUUUGCAGCUGUGCUACCAACAACCGUGAGGAUAAGCGUUGGAGGAGAGAUGUGUACAAGAUUUACGGCAUGAACAUGGUAUCAUGUCUAGUUUUUCUGUGUGCGUACAUUUCUGUGAGGGACUUGUUCACAGGGUUUUACAUUUAUUCACAUUAUUCUGAUGUAAGAUUAUUAUUCUUUCUUUUUUAUCUGAAUAAUGUUGUUGUGGUUUUCAGGAAAAAUCAUGAGAAUGUUUCUGUGAAAAGUCGAUACUGGUUUGAAUCCCUGUGGAGAUCUAGAUAGCAUACAAUUAUGAAAUAAUAAGUCCCAAUUAGUUUGAUUCCAAAGGAUUUUGCACUUUUCACUCACCCUAUCCUGUGAUUAUUUUUGCUUGUGGUUAUUUCAUUGAAAUAAAUAUUGAAAAUAAAUAUUGAUAUUUCUA
ensembl:lncRNA